rnacentral:lncRNA from 1 species
ACCAUUCAGCCUGAUCCGGAAGGAAGGCCAUGAUUUCAGCUCUCUGGGAUUUGAGACAAAGAGGCCCCUUUUCUUUCAUUUUAUCUUUUCAUGUCUCUUCUUGCCAUGUACCCACAUGAUUGAGUGUGGGCUGAGGGUGAAUCCAAGAAGGGCUUUGUUUUGUGGUCAGUACAGGCUUUGGUCCACAGAGACAACAAUACUUUCAAUACUCUUUUGUUCUGCCCCAGAGGAGCUCAACACAGAAUUGCCUAGAACAAGAAACUGGAAUUGUACAUGGCGAUCAUCAGCAGUAUGAAGAGGAGCUGUGGGGCCAGUGAGAGAAGCUGCAGCCUGUUGAGACUCCACAAGACUGAAGAUAUGAAAAGAGGAAAUAUGCAUGAAUGCCCGCACGGAGAACCACCCCCACCUGCUGCUCCCGCUCUAAUGAUCACGCCCAUUAUCAACUGGGGGAUGGCUCUGUGCCUUGUCCUUGCAUUACAUGGACCAAGAACACUUCACAGGACUCAGAGAGGCAAAAAUAGAUACAAAAGAAGAAGGAAUUACAGAAGAAGUCACAUAACAUUAUUGCCUACAACUGACUGUUUACCUUGAAUACUUGAAGACCAGAAUGAAGAUUCUUGGGGUGAAGAAUUACAGCCUUAGCAUGGAGCAGGCCUCGGUGCAUCGGCUUUCAGCUAGGCAUGCCUGCCAAUGUUCAACGUCCUCCUGGGAUACGGAAGGCACCGUGAUAGACAUCUGGGCAAGUCAACAGGAAGGUGGAUAUCCAAAUCUCUCUCUUCGCAAUGAGUUUCCAGUUAGAUGGAGGAGAGAGUAAUAAAACACAGAGCUGAGAUUCCUGACUUCACAGAUCCCUGAGGAGAUGUUUACUAAAGGGAAUCUUCUGGUCACUGUUACCUUCCUCCGUACUUACCUGCCUCAUGGAUAACACUGAAGAAUGCAGUUUACUUACAUCUUUUUCUGUUUGACAGAAGACAGUUAUUAGUUACCCUUGGGACAUCAAAAUGACCAAGGCAGUGUCUGCUAAGUAUUUGCUGAGACUCUGCUAUGAUUCUUUCAAGUCUAAAGACAGUUAUCUGAAUGAUAUCCCCGUGACAGUGGACUCCUGCACAUUCACAGUCCUGGAAGGAGCCUGUCCACAUUGGCAUUCUGGAAGUCCAUAAAAGACAAACGCAUAUGCAGUCCCCGAGAAAGCAUUGUUGUAAACAAAUCUGCACUAGAUGGAAACUCUGUUAUGUGGUGCCGGCAUGCAUGGAAGAGAACCCGAAAGGAAGAAGCUAUACGACUGGGGACACAUGUCUUAGAAGCACACUCAUUAGAUAAAGUGUCGCAUACUCUUUGAUAAGGUGGGAAAAGCAAGGCAAAGAGAAAGUGAACAACAAUGAAACUAGGAACGUAACCCAAGCGCUCGUGCCAGAGCGUGUAUGCUCGAUCUUGGGACCACACCACUUCCCUUGUGGGUUCUUGGUCUCACUCACUUCAAGAAUGA